rnacentral:ncRNA from 2 species
UAUCUCUCACAAGAAUACUCAACCAACUGCUUAUACAUCUAUGGAUUCUAUAUAUAUUAUCCUAUGUUGGUGGUAAUUCUCUGCAUUGCUACUUAUUUUAGUUUGGGAACCCGUUGUUUGAAUCUGCUCGGUUUCCAGCAGUUUAUGGGAGAUGAUGAUAUGACAUCAGACUUAGUUAAUGAAGGAAAAGAAUUAAUCAGAAAAGAGAAGAGAAAAAGGCAAAGGCAAGAAGAAGGUGAAAAUCGAAGAAGAGAAUGGAAAGAACGUUAUGGACACAAUAGAGAAGAUUCCACUAGGAACAGAAAUAUUCAUACUGACCCCAAAGAGUCAAACUUCUCAGAUGUUAAUACCAACCGUUGUAAGUAGUUUA